rnacentral:rRNA from 1 species
UGGGGAAUCUUGCACAAUGGGCGAAAGCCUGAUGCAGCGACGCCGCGUGCGGGAUGAAGGCCUUCGGGUUGUAAACCGCUUUCAGCAGGGACGAGGCCGCAAGGUGACGGUACCUGCAGAAGAAGCCCCGGCUAACUACGUGCCAGCAGCCGCGGUAAUACGUAGGGGGCAAGCGUUAUCCGGAUUCAUUGGGCGUAAAGCGCGCGUAGGCGGUUUGUUAGGUCAGGAGUUAAAUCUGGGGGCUCAACCCCUAUCCGCUCCUGAUACCGGCAGGCUGGAGUCUGGUAGGGGAAGGCGGAAUUCCAAGUGUAGCGAUGAAAUGCGCAGAUAUUUGGAAGAACACCGGUGGCGAAGGCGGCCUUCUGGGCCACGACUGACGCUGAGGCGCGAAAGCUAGGGGAGCGAACAGG